GGCGUGCCUAAUACAUGCAAGUCGAGCGGACGAUUCAAAAGCUUGCUUUUGAAUCGUUAGCGGCGGACGGGUGAGUAACACGUGGGCAACCUGCCCUGUAGACGGGGAUAACACCGAGAAAUCGGUGCUAAUACCGGAUAACACGAAGAACCGCAUGGUUUUUCGUUGAAAGGCGGCGCAAGCUGUCGCUACAGGAUGGGCCCGCGGCGCAUUAGCUAGUUGGUGAGGUAAUGGCUCACCAAGGCGACGAUGCGUAGCCGACCUGAGAGGGUGAUCGGCCACACUGGGACUGAGACACGGCCCAUACUCCUACGGGAGGCAGCAGUAGGGAAUCUUCCGCAAUGGGCGAAAGUCUGACGGAGCAACGCCGCGUGAGCGAAGAAGGCCUUCGGGUCGUAAAGCUCUGUUGUUAGGGAAGAACAAGUACCGCAGUCACUGGCGGUACCUUGACGGUACCUAACGAGAAAGCCACGGCUAACUACGUGCCAGCAGCCGCGGUAAUACGUAGGUGGCAAGCGUUGUCCGGAAUUAUUGGGCGUAAAGCGCGCGCAGGCGGUUCCUUAAGUCUGAUGUGAAAGCCCACGGCUCAACCGUGGAGGGUCAUUGGAAACUGGGGGACUUGAGUGCAGAAGAGGAGAGUGGAAUUCCACGUGUAGCGGUGAAAUGCGUACAGAUGUGGAGGAACACCAGUGGCGAAGGCGGCUCUCUGGUCUGUAAC
rnacentral:rRNA from 1 species